UUGAGAAUGGGUGUCAACAGGUAGAUAACGUUACUCACUGGACUAGCCCCUCGUUCAUAGAACAUCAGCUUGCAAAACACUAUUUAUUUUUCUUUCUGUGUCGACAACAACUGUAAAGUUUAGUCAUGGUGUGGUGCUCAGUACCUGGAUGUGCAAACUACAAGCAAGCACAUGCUGAUGGGGUAACAUUUAAUCAGUUACCUUACUAAGAAGUCAAGCAGAGACUAAUCCUGCUGCUGAUGACGAUGACCUUGACACCAGCUUUAGUAGUACAGAUCCUGUAGACCCAUUGGAUGAAGGCUUUCAGCCGGGAACAAGCUCAACAUCAUCUGACUCAGAAGAGGAAAAGAUUGCACGGGGCUGGCAAGAUCCAAAGUGUAUAGUCUACGAGUCUAAGGUCAUGGAGCUCAUGAAGUUCUGCCAGACCAGCUGCCAUUGCCCAACACAAGACGAGGUUCACCAGCUGAAGAACAUUCAGGACCCUGCCUGGAACAUUCAGCCAACACAACAUCCAUAUUUAGUUAGACUGAUGUUGUAGUAUAAUAUAGAAUGCCUAGUAUGCUCACAACUACAUUGUGUUAUAUAUAUUGCUAGCGCUUGUACAUAUGUAUAUGAUGGAGUUUGAUCAAUUGUUUUAUAUAAUCUUUUUUACAAGUGUACUGACAAGUGACUAAAUGAUUCCAACUACAUCAGAAACCAUUAAAGUGUUGACUUCAA